rnacentral:rRNA from 1 species
UACGUAGGGUGCGAGCGUUGUCCGGAAUUAUUGGGCGUAAAGAGCUCGUAGGCGGCCUGUUGCGUCCGCUGUGAAAUCCCGGGGCUCAACCCCGGGCCUGCAGUGGAUACGGGCUGGCUAGAGGCAGGCAGGGGAGAACGGAAUUCCUGGUGUAGCGGUGAAAUGCGCAGAUAUCAGGAGGAACACCGGUGGCGAAGGCGGUUCUCUGGGCCUGUACUGACGCUGAGGAGCGAAAGCGUGGGGAGCGAACAGG